GGCGCAGUAGCUCAGUUGGUUAGAGCGCCAGCCUGUCACGCUGGAGGUCGAGGGUUCGAGACCCUUCUGCGUCGCCA
rnacentral:tRNA from 1 species